CCUACGUGUGGCAGCAGUGAGGAAUAUUGGUCAAUGGACGAGAGUCUGAACCCGCCAAGUCGCGUGAAGGAUGACUGCCCUAUGGGUUGUAAACUUCUUUUAUAUGGGAAUAAAAUGUUCCACGUGUGGGAUUUUGUAUGUACCAGAUGAAUAAGGAUCGGCUAACUCCCUGCCAGCAGCCGGGGUAAUACGGAGGAUACGAUCGUUAUCCGGAUUUAUUGGGUUUAAAGGGAGCGUAGGUGGAUUGUAAAGUCAGUUGUUAAAGUUUGUGGCUCAACCGGAUAAUUGCAGUUGAAACUGGAAGUCUUGAGUACAGUAGAGGUGGGCGGAAUGCGGGGUGUAGCGGUGAAAUGCUUAGAUAUCACGAAGAACUCAGAUUGCGAAGGCAGUUCACUGGACUGCAACUGACACUGAGGCUCGAAAGUGUGGGUAGCAAACAGGAGUAGAUACCCCGGUAGUC
rnacentral:rRNA from 1 species